rnacentral:rRNA from 1 species
AUACAGAGGGUGCGAGCGUUAAUCGGAAUUACUGGGCGUAAAGCGCGCGUAGGCGGUCUAUUAAGUCAGAUGUGAAAUCCCAGGGCUCAACCUUGGAACUGCAUCUGAUACUGGUAGACUAGAGUUUUGGAGAGGGAAGUAGAAUUUCAGGUGUAGCGGUGAAAUGCAUAGAGAUCUGAAGGAAUACCAGUGGCGAAGGCGACUUCCUGGCCAAAAACUGACGCUGAGGUGCGAAAGCGCGGGUAGCAAACGGGAUUAGAAACCCCUGUAGUCC